CUGAAUGUCCAAUGUGCAAGCACUUUCCCAUAUAUCUAUCCAAAAAUAAUUUGAAUUUGUUGCAACAGAUACACAAGAUAGAUACUAUGUUAUGUACCCUACAACUUUUCUCAAAACGGAGACACCACUUGGUGGAGCCAAAGGAUCGCAAUAUGUUACUAAUCUUUAUUUUAAUUUUGCAAUGUUAAUUUGUUAUAUUGACAAUUAUGCAAUUUUCUAAUGUACACUUCCUUAGCCAACUAAUGGCUUUUUAAUUUCGCAAAGAGGUAUUAGUAUUGUUUUCUCUAAUUAAGUCAAAAACAACAUGGGAAAAAAAUUAAGCAAUGGAAAAUGAUUGUGCAG
rnacentral:lncRNA from 1 species